rnacentral:ncRNA from 1 species
UCGGCACGACAUCGAUGGCGACACCGGCGAGCAGCUGGUGUGUGGAGGCAGUCUGAUGAAUAUCAGCCCGGCGAAAGCCGCGAACAGGUCAGAGACCUGGGGAGCCUUGCAAUAACUCAACAUUUCGCCGCCCCGAUGCACAGAUGUCUGCCG